rnacentral:miRNA from 1 species
UUGCAAGAAGGACUCAGCCAGCGAG